GGGGAAUAUUGGGCAAUGGGCGCAAGCCUGACCCAGCAACGCCGCGUGAAGGAAGAAGGCUUUCGGGUUGUAAACUUCUUUUAUUCGGGACGAAAAAAAUGACGGUACCGAAUGAAUAAGCCACGGCUAACUACGUGCCAGCAGCCGCGGUAAUACGUAGGUGGCAAGCGUUAUCCGGAUUUACUGGGUGUAAAGGGCGUGUAGGCGGGACUGCAAGUCAGAUGUGAAACCCAUGGGCUCAACCCAUGGCCUGCAUUUGAAACUGUGGUUCUUGAGUGUCGGAGAGGUAAUCGGAAUUCCGUGUGUAGCGGUGAAAUGCGUAGAUAUAGGAAGGAACACCAGUGGCGAAGGCGACCACCUGGGCUAAUACUGACACUGAGGUGCGAAAGCGUGGGGAGCAAACA
rnacentral:rRNA from 1 species